rnacentral:rRNA from 1 species
UUGAACGCUGGCGGCAUGCUUUACACCUGCAAGUCGCACUGUAACAGGCCUUCGGGUGCUGCCGAGUGGCUAACGGGUGAGUAAUGCAUCGGAACGUACCCAGCGGUGGGUGAUAACGCAGCGAAUUCUGUGCUAAUACCGCAUGUGAUCUUAGGAUGUUAGCGCGGGACCUUCCAGCAAUGUUUGGCCUCGCGCUUUUGCAUCUGCCGAUGUCGGAUUAGCUAGUUGGUGGGGUAAAGGCCUACCAAGGCGACGAUCCGUAUCUGUUCUGAGAGGACGAACGGCCACACUGGGACUGAGACACGGCCCAGACUCCUACGGGAGGCAGCAGUGGGGAAUUUUGGACAAUGGGCGAAAGCCUGAUCCAGCAAUGCCGCGUGCGGGAAGAAGGCCUUCGGGUUGUAAACCGCUUUUGGCAGGAACGAAACGGUGUCCGCGAAUACCGGGAGCUAAUGACGGUACCUGCAGAAUAAGCACCGGCUAACUACGUG